rnacentral:rRNA from 1 species
ACGCUGGCGGCACGCCUAACACAUGCAAGUCGAACGAAGUAGCAAUACUUAGUGGCAGACGGGUGAGUAACAUGUAGGUAUCUGCCCUUUGGCCUGGAAUAACACGAGGAAACUUGUGCUAAUACCGGAUAAGUCUUUACGGAGAAAGCUUUAUGCACCAUUGGAUGAGCCUGCACUUGAUUAGUUUGUUGGUGGGGUAAUGGCCUACCAAGACUGUGAUCAAUAGCUGAUUUGAGAGGAUGAUCAGCCACAUUGGGACUGAGACACGGCCCAAACUCCUACGGGAGGCAGCAGUGGGGAAUCUUGCACAAUGGAGGAAACUCUGAUGCAGCGAUGCCGCGUGAGUGAAGAAGGCCCUUGGGUUGUAAAGCUCUUUCGUCGGGGAAGAAAAUGACUGUACCCGAAUAAGAAGGUCCGGCUAACUUCGUGCCAGCAGCCGCGGUAAUACGAAGGGACCUAGCGUAGUUCGGAAUUACUGGGCUUAAAGAGUUCGUAGGUGGUUGAAAAAGUUAGUGGUGAAAUCCCAGAGCUUAACUCUGGAACUGCCAUUAAAACUUUUCAGCUAGAGUAUGAUAGAGGAAAGCAGAAUUUCUAGUGUAGAGGUGAAAUUCGUAGAUAUUAGAAAGAAUACCAAUUGCGAAGGCAGCUUUCUGGAUCAUUACUGACACUGAGGAACGAAAGCAUGGGUAGCGAAGAGGAUUAGAUACCCUCGUAGUCCAUGCCGUAAACGAUGUGUGUUAGACGUUGGAAAUUUAUUUUCAGUGUCGCAGGGAAACCGAUAAACACACCGCCUGGGGAGUACGACCGCAAGGUUAAAACUCAAAUGAAUUGACGGGGACCCGCACAAGUAGUGGAGCAUGUGGUUUAAUUCGAAGAUACGCGCAGAACCUUACCAACACUUGACAUGUUCGUCGCGACUCUAAGAGAUUAGAGUUUUCGGUUCGGCCGGACGAAACACAGGUGCUGCAUGGCUGUCGUCAGCUCGUGUCGUGAGAUGUUGGGUUAAGUCCCGCAACGAGCGCAACCCUCACUUUUAGUUGCCAUCAUUAAGUUGGGCACUCUGAAAGAACUGCCAGUGAUAAGCUGGAGGAAGGUGGGGAUGACGUCAAGUCCUCAUGGCCCUUACGUGUUGGGCUACACACGUGCUACAAUGGUAUCUACAACAGGAAGCAAGACUGCGAAGUUAAGCAAAUCCCUAAAAGAUACCUCAGUUCGGAUUGCACUCUGCAACUCGAGUGCAUGAAGCUGGAAUUACUAGUAAUCGUGGAUCAGCGUGCCACGGUGAAUGCGUUCCCGGGUCUUGUACACACCGCCCGUCACACCAUGGGAGUUGGUUCUACCUUAAGGCAAGGUUUCAAACCCUUGACCACGGUAUAGUCAGCGACUGGGGUGAAGUCAUAACAAGGUAGCCGUA